AGAGUUUGAUCAUGGCUCAGGAUGAACGCUAGCGGCAGGCCUAAUACAUGCAAGUCGAACGGUCAGCAAUGACAGUGGCGCACGGGUGCGUAACGCGUAUGCAACCUACCCAUCAAAGGGGGAUAGCCCGGGGAAACCCGGAUUAAUACCGCAUAAGAUAGUAUUCUGGCAUCAGAGAGCUAUUAAACAUUUAUGGUUGAUGGAUGGGCAUGCGUUAGAUUAGCUAGUUGGUGUAGUAACGGUGCACCAAGGCAAUGAUCUAUAGGGGUUCUGAGAGGAAGAUCCCCCACACUGGUACUGAGAUACGGACCAGACUCCUACGGGAGGCAGCAGUAGGGAAUAUUGGGCAAUGCUCGCAAGAGUGACCCAGCCAUGCCGCGUGCAGGAAGAAGGCCUUCUGGGUUGUAAACUGCUUUUGGAAGGGAACAAAAUGGGCAUGCGUGCCAACUUGAGUGUACCUUCAGAAUAAGCACCGGCUAACUCCGUGCCAGCAGCCGCGGUAAUACGGAGGGUGCAAGCGUUGUCCGGAUUUAUUGGGUUUAAAGGGUGCGUAGGCGGCUUAUUAAGUCAGGGGUGAAAGACUAUUGCUUAACAAUGGCAGUGCCUUUGAUACUGAUAGGCUUGAGUACAGCUGAGGCAGAUGGAACGGGUGGUGUAGCGGUGAAAUGCAUAGAUACCAUCCAGAACACCGAUUGCGAAGGCAGUCUGCUAAACUGUAACUGACGCUGAGGCACGAAAGCGUGGGGAUCGAACAGGAUUAGAUACCCUAGUAGUCC
rnacentral:rRNA from 1 species